AGAGUUUGAUCCUGGCUCAGGACGAACGCUGGCGGCGUGCCUAAUACAUGCAAGUCGAGCGGACUUAGAGGAGCUUGCUCCUUUAAGUUAGCGGCGGACGGGUGAGUAACACGUGGGCAACCUGCCCUAUAGUUGGGGAUAACUCCGGGAAACCGGGGCUAAUACCGAAUGAUUCAUUUCAACUCCUGUUGAGAUGCUCA
rnacentral:rRNA from 1 species